rnacentral:rRNA from 1 species
UACAGAGGUCCCAAGCGUUGUUCGGAUUCACUGGGCGUAAAGGGUGCGCAGGUGGGUUUGCAAGUUCGAUGUGAAAGCCCCGGGCUUAACCCGGGAAUGGCAUUGGAUACUGCAGAUCUGGAGGAUUGGAGGGGGGACUGGAAUUCUUGGUGUAGCAGUGAAAUGCGUAGAUAUCAAGAGGAACACCAGUGGCGAAGGCGAGUCCCUGGACAAUACCUGACACUGAGGCACGAAAGCUAGGGGAGCAAACAGG